rnacentral:miRNA from 1 species
UACCUCAUUGACCAGAAGGAUUUCCUUCAGGUUGAUGAGGUGUAUACCUCAUUGACCAGAAGGAUUUCCUUCAGGUUGAUGAGGUU